AUUGAACGCUGGCGGAAUGCUUUACACAUGCAAGUCGAACGGUUCUAAGCGCGAGCUUAGGAUAGUGGCGAACGGGUGAGUAAAAGGUAGGAAUCUACCCCUUGGACGGAGAUAGCUACUGGAAACGGUAGGUAAACUUCGAUAAGCCCGAGAGGGGAAAGUGGUGAGACAGCCGAGGGAUGAGCCUACUCUCCAUCAGGUAGUUGGUGAGAUAAAAGCUUACCAAGCCGAUGACGGAUAACCGGUGUGAGAGCAUGAACGGUCACAAGGGCACUGAGAGACGGGCCCUACUCCUACGGGAGGCAGCAGUGGGGAAUCUUGGACAAUGGGCGAAAGCCUGAUCCAGCGACGCCGCGUGGAGGAAGAAGUCCUUCGGGAUGUAAACUUCUGAACUAGCCGAAUAAAAGGCCUGUGGACACACAGGAGAAGAAAGUAGGCUAGGAAAAGUCCCGGCUAACUACGUG
rnacentral:rRNA from 1 species